rnacentral:lncRNA from 1 species
CAGCUAGACAGUGGUAUGCCAUUUGGACUCCUUUGGUGUUCUAGGAUAAACUAGAAGGGACACAGGCUAGUGAUAUCUCUGAAAAUGUUUUGAAAAUAAAAAGGUCCAGAUUUGAGUGCUUGGCAAUUUGGUUCUCUCCCUCUACUCACACCUCAGUUUUAACCAUACUAACCUACCUGCCCUUUCCUGAUCUCAACUACUCCUCCUCCUCCUGCCUUUUAUUAAAAAGACAAAAACAAAAACACACAAAUAUAAAGAAAGACACCCUGCUUUUCAUAUUUAAUGACAUGCUUAUCUC